rnacentral:rRNA from 1 species
AGUGAACGCUGGCGGCAGGCCUAACACAUGCAAGUCGAGCGGCAGCGGGUCCUUCGGGAUGCCGGCGAGCGGCGGACGGGUGAGGAAUACAUCGGAAUCUGCCCUGUCGUGGGGGAUAACCUAGGGAAACUUAGGCUAAUACCGCAUACGACCUACGGGUGAAAGCGGGGGAUCGCAAGACCUCGCGCGACAGGAUGAGCCGAUGUCCGAUUAGCUAGUUGGCGGGGUAAAGGCCCACCAAGGCGACGAUCGGUAGCUGGUCUGAGAGGAUGAUCAGCCACACUGGGACUGAGACACGGCCCAGACUCCUGCGGGAGGCAGCAGUGGGGAAUAUUGGACAAUGGGCGCAAGCCUGAUCCAGCCAUGCCGCGUGGGUGAAGAAGGCCUUCGGGUUGUAAAGCCCUUUUGUCCGGGAAGAAAUCGUCUGGGCUAAUACCCCGGGCGGAUGACGGUACCGGAAGAAUAAGCACCGGCUAACUUCGUG